UGUUGGUUGGGCUUGAUUCCUUGGAUUUAGCUUUUGGGAUUUGCGUUUGGACCUUUGCGCUUCUGCUCUAUUGGAUCUUCUGAUUCUUGGUUAAGGGCUAGGUUUUGAUUUUGAGUUUGUCAUUCGGAUGGUAUUUCGUUGUGAGGUCAUCUACUAUCCCCUUCUCUCGGCUGCUUUGUUGUAGUCUGAUGGGUUUCAGGCCAAGCAAUGGACUCGACCUUCUGCUCUUCUCUUGCGAGGACGUCACUAGUUUCAUGACGGUAGAUGGCGGAAGCUAGGUUGACGAGUGUCCGUGUGUAAGAGUGGUUUUUCUUCUUUGACUUAUCUCAGGUCAAAUCUCAAGGGUUGUCUCUUUGUUCCUAGCUCUUUGACUGUUCUGGUUUGGCGCGACGGUGGCAGUUUCUGUUUCUCUGUUUUCAGUGGGCUCUGCUUUCAUUCUUGUCGGCGUGCUAUUGGUUUGACUUCGGUUAUAUGGCACAUCCGGUCUCCUUGAGGCUGCUCGACGCUAAAGGUUCUAUGGGAAGUUAAGUGAAGUCUACUGUUUCAGCUGGUCGGUUUUAGAGCAUUGAUCCAUUUUGAUCCUUAGUGUAUGUCCAUCUUGCCUUGUAGUUUUAGUUAUGGAUAUGACUUCCCUUUCAUAGGGCUUUAGACUCCGGGUGAUGCGUCACACGGUCACGGAAAUAGCCUUCGGGACGAUGGUACGGUCGGCGAUCGGUACGGACAGGGCCUUCGGUUACGACGGUUACGGCGGUUACGGCGGUUACGGCGGUUACGGGACGGCGAGGGAGGUUGACGAUGAGUAGCUCGAAUCGCCUAGACUCCAAAGAGAUGAUUUGCAAGGGUGGGUAGCGACAACCGGUGAGUAUCUCGAACCGGUGGUGACUUGGAGAAGAGGGGUGUGAAGGCGGAACGAGGUAACGACACACGAGGGAUGGUGGGCUCGUGAUACGGUUACACUUAGAGGCUUUGAAUCCGAUUCAAAGACUCUAAGGAGCUCUCAAUGUUUUCGCAACAAAUGAGAAAAGGAAAGGACUGAUUUUUAUUUCAAAAGAAGCUAACCCUUACAAGUGACUUAGAGGGCCUUUAUAUAGGCGUUUACAAGGGAGACUCAUAAAACCCUAAAGCAAACAGUCAAAGCGCGGGUCAACAAGGAUAGACGUGUCAAAAUACAAACCAUAAGACAAGAAGAGCCUAACGGCUUUAUUACGAAAGGAAGGAGAGAUGGCCACGUCAUGCGGAGAUGCGUGGUCAUGCGCUAGCGUACGUUGGCCUCGUUAAAACCCUCUUGGUAAACCACGUGGGAUAAACCCAAGUAGGGAAAAAGAGUACCACGUCCAACUAGUGACUUUGAUGCCUUCACCUAGUGAUGGUGAAGACGGUCCGGACAAGCUCAUGAUCGUCCGGAUGGUCGAGUCCAAUGGGGCCGUAUGGCCGUGGGUCGUGUACUUGGAUGAACUCUUCCGCGAAGGCAUUGCACUUGAUCCUGAGAUUGCGUGCAGCUCCCCUUGACCUUGUGACAGCUCCCGGAAGGAUUUGAGGUACCUUGGUCGCCGGUAGUGUCCCGUGGGUCGCUCCGGGUUGGUCCAUGUUCCGUCCCUCGUCCCGGCCCUCGUCCGGAUCGUUGCUCGUAUGCUGUCCGGUAGGUUGGGUCUCAUUAUCCCCUCCCCCUUGGGAAGGUUCUGACCUCAGAACUCCUUCAUCAUUCCCUACAUCAAAAGGAACCAAAUCAGAAACAUUGAAGGAAGUAGAUGUGUUAUACGUACCGGGUAGCUCCAAGCGGUAGGCGUUGUCGUUGAUCCGCUCGAUGACUUGGAAAGGGCCAUCUCCUCUUGGGCUAAGCUUGUCCUUUCUACGUUGUGGGAACCGCUCCGGUCUUAAGUGUAACCAAACCCAAUCUCCCGGCUUGAAAAUCAUGGCUUUGCGGUGUUGGUUGGCUUUUCGCGCGUAUUGCUCGGUUCUUUUUUCUAGAUUUUCCCGGACUUCGGUGUGUAACUUCUUGAUCAGUUCGGCCUUGGCUAAUCCGUCUUGACAUUCUAUCUCAUUGGGUGGUAAGGGUAGCAAACUCGCGGGGGUUAAAGGUUUGAAUCCGUAGGCCACUUCAAAUGGAGACUUCUUCGUUGCCGAAUGCACGGACUGAUUGUAUGCGAACUCCAUAAGGGGAAGUAGCUCUAACCAAGUGCCCGGAUUGCUUGCCACGGUGGUCCGGAUCAAGGCGCCUAAGGUUCGGUUGACGACCUCCGUUUGACCAUCCGUUUGAGGAUGACACGCGGUUGAGUAUAGUAGCUUAGUUCCCAUCUUUCUCCAUAAAGUCCUCCAAAAGUGACCAAGGAACUUGGGGUCUCGGUCCGACACGAUGCUACGGGGUAUCCAUGGAGCCUCACAACUUCCCGAAAGAACAAGUUGGCUAAGGCCGUGGCGUCCGAUGUCUUGUUGCAAGGUAUAAAGUGAGCCAUUUUGGAAAAUCGGUCUACUACGACGAAAAUGGAGUCUUUGCGGUAUUGGAUAGGCAAUCCAAGCAAGAAAUCCAUAGAUAAAUCGACCCAUGGUGCAUUCGGAAUCGGUAGGGGCUUGUAGAGGCCAUGUGGCCAUGGGGUGGCCUUGGCGGUACGGCAAGUGAUGCAACGGCCUACGAACUUCUCGACCAUCCGCUUCAUCUUAGGCCAAUAAAAAUGUUCCUUUAAGACUUCCAAAGUCUUAGUAACCCCAAAAUGCCCGGUUAGGCCUCCUCCAUGUGACUCUUGCAUUAGUAGGGUCCUAAUAGAUCCGGCGGGUAUGCAAAGCCUUUUGUCCCGAAAGAGAAACCCGUCUUGGAUGUAGAACCGUGAGUGAAUUCCUUUGCCGUGAUCCCUAUAACUCUCCCCAAACUCCGGAUCUUCUUUGUAAACUUCCUUGAUCCCUUCAAAACCCAAAACCCUUGCCUCCAUGGUUGUGAUCAACGCGUGUCUUCUUGAUAGCGCGUCGGCUACGACAUUUUCUUUGCCCUUCUUGUACUUGAUAACGUAUGGGAAAGCCUCUAUAAACUCUAGCCACUUCGCGUGUCUCUUCUUCAAGUUGGUUUGGCCUCUAAGAUGUUUCAAGGUCUCAUGGUCCGUAUGGAUCACAAAUUCCCUCGGUAGUAGAUAAUGUUGCCAAGUCUCCAUAGCUCGGACCAAAGCGUAUAACUCCUUAUCAUAAGUCGGAUAGUUGAGGGUAGGGCCAUGUAACUUCUCACUAAAGUAGGCCACGGGUUUGCCUCCUUGGGUUAGGACCGCUCCAAUCCCGAUGCCGGAUGCAUCACACUCUACUUCAAAGGUCUUCUCAAAACUUGGUAGAACUAGGAGAGGCGCUUGUGUUAAUCUCCUCUUUAGCUCUUGAAAUGACGCUUCUUGACUCGAUCCCCAAGUGAAUUCUUCACUCUUCUUAGUGAUGGCGGUAAGAGGUGCGGCUACAGUGCUAAAGUCCUUGACAAAACGCCGGUAGAAACUUGCUAAACCAUGAAAGCUUCUCACUUGACUAACGGUUGUCGGUGUAGGCCAUUCCUCUAUUGCUCGAAUUUUCUCUUGAUCCACUCUAAGGCCCUGCUCACUCACAACAAAACCUAGAAAAACUAGUUCAUUAGUACCAAAGACACACUUCUUGAAGUUAGCGUAUAGCUUUUCUUCUCGAAGUGUGACCAAGACCAUCUCUAGAUGGACCAAGUGAUCCUCUAGGCUACGGCUAUAGAUUAAAAUAUCAUCAAAAUAGACCACAACAAACUUAUUAAUGAAAGAUCUAAGGAUGUGAUUCAUUAACCGCAUAAAGGUGGAUGGGGCGUUGGAGAGGCCAAAUGGCAUGACUAGCCAUUCGUAGAGUCCUUGCUUGGUCUUGAAAGCCGUUUUCCAUUCAUCACCCUCUUUCAUUCGGACUUGGUGGUAACCACUCUUGAGGUCAAUCUUGGUGAAAAUAAUGGCUCCAUCCAACUCAUCUAGCAUAUCAUCAAGCCUUGGGAUUGGAUGUCUAUACUUCACGGUUAUGUUGUUGAUGGCCCUACAAUCCACGCACAUUCGCCAUGUUCCAUCUUUCUUAGGUACUAGGAGAACUGGUACGGCACAAGGGCUAAGGCUCUCUCGGACAUAUCCUUGCUUCAUGAGGUCUCCCACUUGCUUCUCUAGUUCUUUAGCUUCGGUUGGGUUGACUCUAUAGGCGGGUCUAUUUGGCAAUUGAGCUCCCGGAAUAAGAUCUAUUUGAUGUUCAAUCCCUCGGAUAGGUGGCAAGCCAUGCGGUAGUUCUUCCGGAAACACAUCUUGAAAACGCUUGAUGAUGGCCUUAAUCUCCUCCGGAAUGUCCUUGCCUUCACAAUCUAUAGUCAAAACAUCUUUAAAGACCAUUAGUAACACUUGGCAAGAGGAGUCACAUAGUGAUCUCCUAACAUCACUAGAAUUAACCAAGAAAUUCGACUUAGAGCUAGGUUCACUAGACAUUUUCGAUUGCAUUUCAUUGACUUGGGUGGGUGACAAAGGCUUUAAGAAAAUCCGUUUACUAUUAUGGAUAAAAGUAUACUCAUUGGUAAGGCCACAAUGCGAUGUCUUCUUAUCAAAUUGCCAAGGCCGACCCAACAAUAGGUGGCUAGCUUGCAUUGGGACAACAUCGCAUAAGACUUGGUCUUGGUAGGGGCCAACACUAAAAGAAACUAGACACGUGUUCCGAGACUUGGAUUACGGAUUUGUUGUUCAACCAUUUAAGCUUAUAAGGUUUGGGAUGGCUUGUGGUAGCCAAAGAAAGUUUCUUGACCAUAUAAGAACUCGCAACAUUGGUGCAAGAGCCCCCAUCUAUGAUCAAGCCACAAACCUUCCCACUUACCAUGCACCGGGUGUGGAAGAUGUUGUCGCGUAGGUUGGAGUCGUCCAUGGCUUGGCUUGUGCUUAGCAUGCGGCGGAUCAUGAGAAGUUCUCCAACUUCCGGUUCGGCAAUGGCUUCCUCGAUCUCGGAGUUAAUGCCUUGGCCUUGUGGGGCGUCGUCUUCGUCUUGGGAUUCAUAGUCUCCGGCGGUGGUGAUGAUCAUGGUGCGUUGGUUGGGGCAGUCUCGGGCAUAAUGACCUCGGCCUUGACACUUGAAGCAAAUGAUGUCUCGGGUCCUUGAGUCGGAGGGUUGAGGUCUUGGGUCGGGACGGUUGUCUUUGGUGGUCUCUCGGGGCUUGAAUCUUGUGUCGAUACGGGCGGCUUUGGGUUCGGUGGUACCCCGGUUGGUCUUGUCGGCUACUCGGUUGUUCCCAUGAGACGGUGAGGCGUUAGGCGACCAACUUGGAAGUCCUUGUCCCUUGGUCCGGAUGGUGCUUGCAAUUUUCUUCUUGAUUUGUUGUUCUACUUGGAUAGCUAGGUGCAACAUCUCCUCAAACCCUUGGUAAGAUUGGCGUUCAACCUUCCUUGUGAUCCGGUCAUUCAAUCCGUCUAAGAAUUGGGCCAUCAAAGCCUCUUCGGUCUCUUCUAGUUGUAAACGGUUCCUCAAGUGCUCAAAGUCCUCAUAAUAUUCCUCAACGCUUUUUAUUCCUUGAGUGAGCUUCCUAAAUCGCCGUUGUAGGUCACGGCUAAAGUAUUGGGGAAUGUAUCGGCGUCUCAUGAUGGCCUUCAUUGCGUCCUAAGUGGCCACGGGUCUCUCGUGAUUACGUCGUCGGUCGUCGACGUCGCGGUCCCAACAAGUAAGGGCAUGGUCCGUGAAUUGAGCGGCGGCUAUAAUGACCUUUCGUAUCUCCGGGUAGUUGUAACAAGAGAAAACCUUGUCCAUUCGGCCUUCCCAUUGUAGGUAGGCCUCCGGGUCAACCUUUCCCGCAAAGGUUGGGACGGUAAGCUUGCAGGAGGGUCCGGUGAGAUUAGGACCCAUUGGUCGUUCGUUGUCCCGUCGGUUGUUUCUUCGUCUUGGAUAGUCGGGGUCUUCUUCAUCCGACGUGUGUCCCUCAACUUGACCUUGAUCUUGUUCUUGGUCGUCGACUGGUGGUAGUCUUUGGUCUCGGACCCGUCGUACAAGGGGCACGGGUGGUGGUAUAGCUUGCUCCAAGAGAUAAAGCCGAUCAUCAAUCCGUCUCAUUUGAGCUUGGAUUUGGGUCAGAAUAACUCCAAGGUCGGGUGGAGGAGCGGGUGCUAUAGGUGGGUCUUGUCCGGCCAUAGUACGGAUUCUGGUAUCCGGGAAAUGUCAGACGGCGGCUGGUGGUCGAUGGUACGUAUGGUCGUUGUCGUGGUCCGUUUGGUCCGUACGGCUAGCGAGGUUCGUUCCCCCUGUCCCAAACAAAGAACACGUGCGUUUUAAGGUUGCGAUAUGUUGAUAAGAUGGAAUCAAUUUCAACAAAGGUGACAGCUCAUGAUUGGAGAGAGAACGGUCAAAAAGCAACAAAAAGCAACCUAAGACCAAAACAAAAACGCUAGAGGACAAACGGUACGAAACCGUGUGACCCAAAACGAUACACGUGGUUUCAAGGCCACCAAACUACAGCGAUAACACUAAGGAACAAAACAACUAAAGAUCUAACAGCCUAAAAAGAUGAAAAACACGGUGAAAAGCACGAUGAACACGAAGAACACGAAAAAAACCAAAACCGGCUAAAACGAAAAGCGACUUCAAACGAGUGGUUUUCAAGGCCACGAAACAAAAACCCGAAGCAAAACUCAAGCUUUUAACCCAAAGUGAUACUAAACACACAAAAAGACUAAGACUUUCUAAGAGAAACAAGAAGGGAAGGCGAAGAACACAAGGAAAGCAAACCUUUUUUUUUUUUUUUUUGAAAUGAAACAACAGUAAACAACACAAAGAGAACUAAGAAGGAUAGAUACAACCUUAGGAACGUUCGGCUCUGAUACCAAAAACUGAUGCGUCACACGGUCACGGAAAUAGCCUUCGGGACGAUGGUACGGUCGGCGAUCGGUACGGACAGGGCCUUCGGUUACGGCGGUUACGGCGGUUACGGCGGUUACGGCGGUUACGGGACGGCGAGGGAGGUUGACGAUGAGUAGCUCGAAUCGCCUAGACUCCAAAGAGAUGAUUUGCAAGGGUGGGUAGCGACAACCGGUGAGUAUCUCGAACCGGUGGUGACUUGGAGAAGAGGGGUGUGAAGGCGGAACGAGGUAACGACACACGAGGGAUGGUGGGCUCGUGAUACGGUUACACUUAGAGGCUUUGAAUCCGAUUCAAAGACUCUAAGGAGCUCUCAAUGUUUUCGCAACAAAUGAGAAAAAGAAAGGACUGAUUUUUAUUUCAAAGAAGCUAACCCUUACAAGUGACUUAGAGGGCCUUUAUAUAGGCGUUUACAAGGGAGACUCAUAAAACCCUAAAGCAAACAGUCAAAGCGCGGGUCAACAAGGAUAGACGUGUCAAAAUACAAACCAUAAGACAAGAAGAGCCUAACGGCUUUAUUACGAAAGGAAGGAGAGAUGGCCACGUCAUGCGGAGAUGCGUGGUCAUGCGCUAGCGUACGUUGGCCUCGUUAAAACCCUCUUGGUAAACCACGUGGGAUAAACCCAAGUAGGGAAAAAGAGUACCACGUCCAACUAGUGACUUUGAUGCCUUCACCUAGUGAUGGUGAAGACGGUCCGGACAAGCUCAUGAUCGUCCGGAUGGUCGAGUCCAAUGGGGCCGUAUGGCCGUGGGUCGUGUACUUGGAUGAACUCUUCCGCGAAGGCAUUGCACUUGAUCCUGAGAUUGCGUGCAGCUCCCCUUGACCUUGUGACAGCUCCCGGAAGGAUUUGAGGUACCUUGGUCGCCGGUAGUGUCCCGUGGGUCGCUCCGGGUUGGUCCAUGUUCCGUCCCUCGUCCCGGCCCUCGUCCGGAUCGUUGCUCGUAUGCUGUCCGGUAGGUUGGGUCUCAUUACCGGGGAAAUCUUGUUUUCCGCCGGUUUUAGACUCUAGGGAAAUCUUGUUUUCCGCCGGCUU
rnacentral:lncRNA from 1 species